GGAUUUCAUUAAUAACUGUCAAGGUAAGGCUUCCUGAAAUCAGGAGUUUUUAUUGAUGCCCUUUAUUUUACUUAACUCAUGUUACAAAAAAUUGCACUUUGAGAGAUAGGCAUGCUUGCCAGCAAUUCGGGGUGGAAUGACACAGGUUUCUCAAAUAUUUGGACUAAUGGACAAUACUAAGUAGUCUGGAGAAUGGGGAAGCACAUAUGCAGAGGGAAAACAGCUGAGUUCGGGAACUAAAGUGAGAGCCACAGCAUGAGAGGAAAAUACACCUUGGGUGAGAGGAGGAAAGCUGAGCAAGAGCUCUUGGGGCAGCAUCUCCCUUUACCAGCUGGGGGCACCUUUUAGCUGUCUCAUUUGUUUGAUUCUUGCACAGCUGGAAAAUAUCAGACUCUCUAAAAGGAGUUGUUAGUUUUAUCUUGAAAGUAUAGCCGAUAAAUAAUUUGUCAGUUCUGGUUUCUGCCUUCUCUCCACGGGAGGCUUUUAGCCCUUCAGCUAGAGGGAAUAGGUGUAGAAAGAGAGAAACUCUGGAGAAACCAAGUACCAACUUCAGUCAACAUCACUUCACCCCCCAACAGAGCCUUAAUCUGAAGGACUUUCCAUCUCCAGAGUACAGCAAUUAGGUAAGAUUUAAUG
rnacentral:lncRNA from 1 species